GGAACGCCUAGCGGCAGGCUUAACACAUGUCAAGUCCGAACGGUAACAGAUCUAGCUUGCUAGAUGCUGACGAGUGGCGCACGGGUGCGCAACGCGUAUGCAACCUACCUCUAACAGGGGGAUAGCCCGGAGAAAUUCGGAUUAAUACCUCAUAAUAUAUAGUUACUGCAUGGUAAUUAUAUUAAAACUACGGUGGUUAGAGAUGGGCAUGCGUGACAUUAGCUAGUUGGUAAGGUAACGGCUUACCAAGGCAACGAUGUCUAGGGGGUCUGAGAGGAUUAUCCCCCACACUGGUACUGAGACACGGACCAGACUCCUACGGGAGGCAGCAGUGAGGAAUAUUGGUCAAUGGACGGAAGUCUGAACCAGCGAUGCCGCGUGCAGGAAGACGGCCCUACGGGUUGUAAACUGCUUUUAUAUAGGAAUAAACCUAUCCUCGUGAGGGUAGCUGAAUGUACUAUACGAAUAAGCACCGGCUAACUCCGUGCCAGCAGCCGCGGUAAUACGGAGGGUGCAAGCGUUAUCCGGAUUUAUUGGGUUUAAAGGGUGCGUAGGCGGAUUGAUAAGUCAGUGGUGAAAUCUUCCAGCUCAACUGGGAAACUGCCAUUGAUACUGUCGAUCUUGAAUUAGUUGAAGUAGGCGGAAUGAGGCAUGUAGCGGUGAAAUGCAUAGAUAUGCCUCAGAACACCGAUUGCGAAGGCAGCUUACUAAGCCUAUAAUUGAC
rnacentral:rRNA from 1 species